GUGCUCACUUUGGCAACAUAUAUACUAAAACUGGAACAAUACAGGGAAGAUUAGCGUGGCCCCCGUAUAAGGAUGACAUGAAAAUUCGUGACACAUUCCUCAUUUUU